rnacentral:rRNA from 1 species
GACGAACGCUGGCGGCGUGCUUAACACAUGCAAGUCGAACGAUGACGACCGAGCUUGCUCGGUCUGAUUAGUGGCGAACGGGCGAGUAACACGUGAGCAACCCGCCCUUCACUUUCGGAUAACCUCGGGAAAUCGGGGCUAAUACCGGAUAUGAGCUCCUGUCGCAUGGCGGGUGUUGGAAAGUCUUUCGGUGAAGGAUGGGCUGGCGGCCUAUCAGCUUGUUGGUGAGGUAGUGGCUCACCAAGGCGAAGACGGGUAGCCGGCCUGAGAGGGCGACCGGCCACAAUAUGCCUGAGACACGGACCAGAAUCCUACGGGAGGCAACAGUGGCGAAUAUUGCACAGUGGGCGAAAGCCUGUGGCAGCGACACCGCGGUUGGGAAGACGGCCUUCGAGUUAUGAACCUCUUUCAGUGGGGAAGGAGCUGAAGUGACGGUACCUACAGAAUAAGCGCCGGCUAACUACGUG